UACAGAGGGUGCAAGCGUUGUUCGGAAUCAUUGGGCGUAAAGGGCGUGUAGGCGGUUUGUUAAGUCAUGUGUGAAAUCCCUCGGCUCAACCGGGGAACGACGCAUGAAACUGGCAAGCUAGAGUACCAAAGAGGGUGGUGGAAUUCCCGGUGUAGCGGUGAAAUGCGUAGAGAUCGGCAGGAACACCCAGGGGGAAACCAGCCGACUGGGCAUCUACUGACGCUGAGGUGCGAGAGCGUGGGGAGCGAACCGG
rnacentral:rRNA from 1 species